ensembl:lincRNA
UUUGGGAAACUCAAGUUGGGAAAUGCUGCAACUCAGCAACUUGAUGGCAAAGCAAGAGCUAUUGUGGAAGUUACUGCUGGACUCAAUGGAGUCAGAGAGGAGGGACCCAUACCCAGUGAAGACUUCCAAGAGCUUGUCUAAAAGGAGGCUGGUAUCUCUCUUUCCCACGUAAGCCCAUCUCUUCAGUUUCAGGGAUGGAGAGAGGAAGAUGUAACCUUGGAAGCGGAAGGACACAAUUUAUAGGAUAAUCCCACUCAGGGCAAAAGAGGAAGCUUUGGAGGGUAGAGAAUAACCCAGUUGAAAAUCUGCAAGCAAUGCUGUCCACAUCCCGAAUAGACUGGUCAAAAAGCCUUCAUCCCGUCAGUCACUGACAUCAACCUCAUCCAAAUCAGACUCCUAAAAACCCGGCCUAACUUAUGUGUCAUGCAAAGGAUGGCUCUUGGAAAAAUGCAAAGAAACCUAGAAGUCCACAAUCCUGCUCAGCCUUGUCUUCAGUUUCUGAUCUUGAACAGUCUUUCAAAGACCACAGCCAUGAGAAGGUCAACUAGAGCAUCUAAAGAAGCAAAAGUUAUGAGUCUCAAGUCUAUGGCUAAUUUACUUCAAAGCCUGAUCUUCAGAGAAAGAUACGAGAAUAAGGAAAGAUUUCUAAUGUGUUAUUCUAUUGUGUUUUAUCAUUUUGCACCUUUUUUUCUUGUUUCUCAUCUGUCUUACUCACUUUGGUCUAUAAGCUGUGUGAGAACAGAAAAUAUAACUAUCUUAGGGCAGGCGUGGCAGAUCACACCUGUAAUACCAGCACUUUGGGAGGCCAAGGCGGGCAGAUCACUUGAGGUCAGGAGUUCAAGACCAGCCUGGCCAACAUGGCAAAACCUCAUCUCAAUUAAAACUACAAAAAUUACCCGGGCAUCAUGGCACACACUUGUAAUCCCAGCUACUCAGGGGCUGAGGCAGGAGAAUUGCUUGAACCCGGGAGACAGAGGUUGCAGUGAGUUGAGAUCAUGCCACUGCACUCCAGCCUACAUGACAAAGUGAGACUCUGUCUCAAAUUAAAAAAAAAGAAAAGAAAAGAGAAAAUAUAACUAUUUUGCUCAUUAACGUGUACCCAGAAACUAGGUCUAGCCCAUAGUGGGCAGUCAGACAAUCUUACUAAAAUGACUGACUGGUCUAGGGGAGAAGGGAAUAGAAAGAAAAAUUAGUCCACUGAUAGAGUUUGGCUGUGUCCCCAGCCAAAUCUCACCUUGAAUUGUAGUUCCCAUAAUCCCCACAUGUUGUGGAAGGGACCUGCUAGGAGAUAAUUUAAUCAUGGGGUGAUUAUCCUAAUGGUGUUCUCCUGAUAGUGAGUUCUCACGGGAUCUGAUGGUUUUAUAAGGGGCUUUUCCCCCCUUUUGCUCAGCACUUCUCCUGCUGCCACCAUGUCCAGAAGGGCAUGUUUGCUUCCCCUUCCGCUAUGAUUGUAAGUUUACUGAGGCCUCCUAAGCUAUGCUGAACUGUACAUCAAUUAAACCUCUUUCCUUCAUAAAUUACCAAGUCUCAAAUAUGUCUUUAUUAGCAGCGUGAGAAAAGACUAACACAUCCACCCAUGGAAUAAGAGGGAGAUGAGUAAACUAGCUAGGAGGUUAGCGAGCACAAAUGCGGGAACCAUUCUGCGGCAUGGCCACUUGAGUAGCAAGAUAAUGCUGGGAGGGUGGAAGAAGGAGAACUUGGGCCUGGGAAACCAUUGAUGGCUGAGCACAGUGGCUCACAUCUGCAAUCCCAGCACUAUGGGAGGCUGAGGCAGGAGUAUGGAUUGAGGCCAGGAGUUUGAGACCAGCCUGGGCAACAUAUAGUGAGACCCACGACUCUACAAAAAAAUUUAAAAAUUAGUCAGGCAUGGUGGCAUGCACCUGUAGUCACAGCUACUCAGGGGACUGAGGCAGGAGGACCCCUUAAGCCCAGGAGUUUGAGACCGUAGUGAACUAGAGUCACGCCACUACCCUCAAGCCUGG